GACGAACGCUGGCGGCGUGCUUAACACAUGCAAGUGGAGCGACGAACCAGGGCUUGCCCUGGGGCAGAGCCGCGAACGGGUGAGUAACACGUGGGUAACGUGCCCCGAUGACUGGGACAACCCGGGGAAACCCGGGCUAAUACCGGAUGUGCCCCCUCACAUCAGUGAGGUGUGUAAAGGAAGCUUCGGCCUCCGCAUCGGGAUCGGCCCGCGGCCCAUUAGCUUGUUGGUGAGGUAACGGCUCACCAAGGCUGCGAUGGGUAGCUGGUCUGAGAGGACGAUGCGCCACACUGGGACUGAGACACGGGCCAGACUCCUACGGGAGGCAGCAGUGGGGAAUCUUGCGCAAUGGGCGGAAGCGGGACGCAGCAACGCCGCGUGGGGGAAGACGGCCUUCGGGUUGUAAACCCCUUUCAGUUGGGACGAAGGUCGGGCGGUUAACAGCCGUUCCGGCUGACGGUACCUUCACAAGAAGCCCCGGCUAACUACGUG
rnacentral:rRNA from 1 species